AGUCAGACUGUAAGUGGUGUUUUCAGUGGCGAAAGGUUGAGUAGUGCAUAAGAACUUGUCCUUAGGAGUAGAACAACAGCUGAAAACGGCUGCUAAUAUAAAUUGAGGAGCAAAAGGAGGAAUCUGCCCAAGGAGGGGCUCACGUCUAAUUAGCUAGUUGGUGAGGCAAUAGCUUACCAAGUCGAUGAUCAGUAGUUAGUGGGAGAGGAUGAUCAGCCACAUUAGGAUUGAGACACAACUUUGAGUUUGUAUAAAUACU
rnacentral:ncRNA from 1 species